ACGCACGCUGGCGGCGUGCUUAACCCAUGCAAGUCGAACGGAAAGGCCCUGCUUUUGUGGGGUGCUCGAGUGGCGAACGGGUGAGUAACACGUGAGUAACCUGCCCUUGACUUUGGGAUAACUUCAGGAAACUGGGCCUAAACCCGGAAGGAGCUCCUGGUGCAUGGUGGGGGGUUGGAAGGUUCGGCGGUUGGGGAUGGACUCGCGGCUUAUCAGCUUGUUGGUGGGGUAGUGGCUUACCAAGGCUUUGACGGGUAGCCGGCCUGAGAGGGUGACCGGCCACAUUGGGACUGAGAUACGGCCCAGACUCCUACGGGAGGCAGCAGUGGGGAAUAUUGCACAAUGGGCGGAAGCCUGAUGCAGCAACGCCGCGUGCGGGAUGACGGCCUUCGGGUUGUAAACCGCUUUCGCCUGUGACGAAGCGUGAGUGACGGUAAUGGGUAAAGAAGCACCGGCUAACUACGUG
rnacentral:rRNA from 1 species